UACGGAGGGUGCGAGCGUUGUUCGGAAUCACUGGGCGUAAAGGGCGUGUAGGCGGUCCGCUAAGUCUGAUGUGAAAGCCCGGGGCUCACCCCCGGAAGUGCAUUGGAAACUGACGGACUCGAGUCCCGGAGAGGAGGGUGGAAUUCCUGGUGUAGCGGUGAAAUGCGCAGAUAUCAGGAGGAACACCAAUGGCGAAGGCAGCACUCUGGGACGUGACUGACGCUGAGACGCGAAAGCGUGGGGAGCAAACAGG
rnacentral:rRNA from 1 species